ensembl:lncRNA
AAAACUUGGAAUUUGAAGUAUCCAUUUCUUUAAUGGCUAAAAGGUAAAAUAAGGAAGUAUAGCUGAGUGAAUUUUUUGCUUGUCAUGUGAUAAAUUAACAUUCAACAUAGGAAGUCCAAAACUAUUCAGUUCACAUGAUCUCAGUAUUUGUCUCCAUUUUAAAAUUGUAUCAAAAUGAAAACAUUUAUUCCUGAGCCUGGAAGGCCCUCAUUUUUCAGAUAUUCCCUUAAUGGGAGUCAUGAGUGUUAUUUUAUUUGGGAGUCAGAAGUAGCUGAGAUAAGAAACAGUAACAGCUUUGGGAUUUCUUUCUUCCCUUCCUUCUUAUUCCUUUCUAUUCGACCAGGAAGAAGUGCAAUUUAGGUGAGUAACAGCAAGGCAUCCUACAUUAAGUUAGCAAGUGAGGUUGAAAAGUCAAUCUUACAGGCUUUAGAGGAGCUGAUACUAGCAGAAAAACUGUGCCUGCAGAACAAAGCCAGAAGAUAUCAAACAUCCUAAGAUCUGCUUUCACAAAUCAACAAAGUACAUAAACCAGAAAAAAAAUGCCUUCCUCUGGUUUGUUUCCCCAAAAUGAGAAACUGCGAAAGCCUGUAAGUGAAGAGCGAAUAUGAGAUGGUUGUCAGUGUAAUGUCAGCUUCUAGCAGAACAGAAAUAACUCACAAGUCUUGGAAUAAGUUCUCUAUUGCCUUGCACACUGUAUAGUCUUUUAAUCAAAAGCCAGAAUGAAUAGUUUCCAUCCAGCCUCAAAAUACCACGUCAUAUUAUGCAGAAAGAGGACUAUUGCAGAAACACUGCUUUUCCUGUCUUUAAGAUCUAAAACCACUACUAUGCAGGGUUCUGCUUGAGUAAUAACCUCAGUAGCAUUCCUUUUUCCUUUUGUGUAAAAUAUAUUUUGGCUCGUGUUUUGUUUCAACAUACUUCUAUAAAUCCUCGUGGGACACAGUAUGGGGGCCCUUCCAGGAUGUGACCUUUAGAUAUUGACAGAGGAGGUGUAUAUGCAUGUAUUCUCAUAUGAUGGCAGCAGAGGGGCAGACUGACGGAAUCCAUCGGAAGCAAGGGUGUGCCACUGAAUUCCUCCAUGCAGGAAAAAAUGCCACCCAUUGACACUGAUCAAUGCUUGCUGAAUGUUUCUGGAGACCAACCUGUGGGUGUGAGCACAAUGAGGUGGAUUCCACUGACCUACCCAGUGUUGUUCAGCUCCAUUAAUGCUUUUUGAUUUGGAAGCACAAAUGAUUUCAGCAUCAGCCUGUGGUGGUGGUAUGUUCAACGAGAUAAGUACGUCUCCUUUUUCAAUGAUUCACGUUAUAAUUUCAUCUAAAGAUGUCUAGUUUUUAGACGUGGAAAACAGUGAACCACUGUUCCUAGAGAUUUUCUUAAUCAAGAGUCCUAGUCCAUUUAGUUGUACUGUUUCUUAUCCCAGUCGUCUUUGAUCUUUGUAGUCAUGUUAAUUUCACGACAAAGAAUGCAUCAGCUAAACUUGCAAUAAUACUAUAGACACAUUUAAUAUAAUGUAUUUGUUUAGUUUUUCCAAGAUAUUUUAAAAUUCUUUUGUCUAUUAUUCAAAUGCAGCAACAUACAUUCAAAAAAUACAAUGUACUUUUGAAUUUUAGCAAUUUUGACAGGACAUUUAAAAAACUGUUCUGUUCUGGAAGAUACCUUUGCAGAUUCAGUUAUGCAGUCAAUGCCACUGAUGAGUAAUCCUAAGUGACUAAAAACUUGGCACCUGCCUUGAUUCACCACUAUUUUUCAGAUAUCACAUUGAUCACUUGUACAGUCUGUUAUAAAGAAAGCUUAAACUGAGCUUUUCAAAGACUCAGAAAUGCUUAUGGUGAAUAUCCCCAAUCACUUUUCAAGAGCAUCCCAUCAAGUUCAGUUGAUAAAGAUGAGAUUAACCUAUUAUGGAUGUCAUUUUUCUAAAACACCAAUAUUUUCAUUUGUCAGUUAACGCUGGUGAGAAACAGGUUUGACCUUUAGGAUAGGAAUAUGUGAGUUGUCAAAGUCGAUCAGGAGCUCACAUAAAAUAGAUGCAAUACAGCAUUACCAAGACUGCAGAGUUCACUGAUCCUUACAGUCUUCCAGAAAACCCUUUCCUUCUAGAAACAUCAGUGGCAAACACCAUUAAAUAACCCCUUUGCUUAAAGAUGAGGGCUGCUCUGAAAGUAACACCUCCUGUUUUAUUAUGUUGGCCCAUGACAUCAGGGGAGGAUGUUAGUGGUUUGACAGUAGAGGUUGAACCUUCCCACCAAUAUUCCAUUACAUGUUGUUGCCAUGUGACAGAUGGCAGCAGAAGGGCAGUGUGAUAGAAUGGCAUUUGACAUGGAAGUGCAUGUGAAGCAAAGGAGUGUCACUGUUAAUUCAUCCGUAUGGAAACAAUGGCACCCAUUGACAUUCAUCAGUGCUUACUGAAUGUUCCUGGAGACCAAGCACUGGAUGUGAGCACAGUGAGGUGGUGAGUGGUGCAUUUCAGCUGUGGUGACAGUGACAGUGGGUUACCUCUGCUAUGCACAAGUGUGACAUGCAGGCUCUUGUUCACUGAAGGUAAAAAUGCAUAGCUAAUGUUGGUGACAAUGUUGAAAAAUAGUGUUUUGUAGCUCAGAAUUUGCUCUAUCAAAUAGUGUUGUUCUCUUUGUAUCUGUUUUAGUUUGAAAAUAAAUAGGAGGCAUUACUUUCAGAAUGAUCUAUGUAUAUCUUGAUGAAUUUUAGUGUACUUGCACAGAAAGGGCUACCAAAACAGUGACUGAUGUACAUAAAGCAUUCUCUCAGCUGCCAGUAUGGAGCAAGCCUGACUUUCUACAGUUAUGGCACUUCAACCUUUGUUGUCUUCAUAUUUGGGACUGAAGGCUGUCUUGUGACAUACAGUAUGAGUUUAUAGACUGGGUAAAUGAACUGGAGUUUCCAUAUUGUCCUGCUAUCCUUUUUCUCAUGUAUUAUCAAUACUAAAUGAAAAUGUUUUACUUUUUUUUGUCUUGACUUUCACCUAUGAAAAUAAGGUCCCAGCUCACGUUUUGAUAAAUUACAGACAUGCAUUCACAGCAUCACAGUGACUGAGUUUAGAAGAGAUCUUCUUUACAAGAGGUCUUCUUGUCCAAAAUCCCUGCUCAAGCAAGACCACCUAAAGUCAACUACACACGACCAAGUCUAGAUGGCUUUAGAAUAACUCAAAGGAUGGAGACUAUACAGCUUGUCUGUGAAACCUGUAUCUGUGCUUAGUCUCCUGCACAUGAAAAACAUGUUUGGCUAGAACUUCCCAUGUUUUAGUUUCUAGAUUAUAUCUGAUACAUCAUCUACUGUUUGUGAAUUUAGAUUUUGUGGUAAACAAGGAAGACAUCAUUCUAGACUAUUCAAGAUUAACGAGACAAAUAAUACUAAUGUGUUAUAGAAGAGAUGCAAUUAUACAAUAUUGCUUUAAAUAAGUGGUUCUUAGGUUAUUAUUUUAAUAGAUUUGCACACCAGAGCUUUAUAAGGAAAUCUUCUCUUAGGGUUUCUCAUAUUCCAUUUCUGCAAUGUGUGAAAGCUCACUUUAGCACUCAGUGCAAUUGAAAACAUAAUAUUAUUGAAGGAUUUAAUCAUCAUUUUAAUACUUUGAUAUUGGCAUUUUAACUGUCUGAAAAAAAAUUUGGAGCUGGAAAUAAUCAUAACAUCAGCAUUAAAGUAGCCACUGUGUACUGGGGAAUAGUGGAGGUUAAGAUGCAAGUGCAGAAUAUGUUAGAUUUACUCUCAGGACAGUACUGAGAGCUCCAGCAGGAGAUGACAUAGAGCUUUCUUCUUCUGGUAAAAUUCUGCACAGUUGAAAGUCUGACUUCAUGUUGUUAAAUUAUUUGUAAAAAGAUUUGGUGGUAAACACAUCUUGCAAUAUGAUACAGUAAUGUUCUGCUUGUCUAUUUCCAGCAGUGUGUUGAGUUACUAGUUGCUUCCUCAAAGAAAACAUUGCUCUGAGCUACCAUUUCUUUUUUCCUUCAGGUAUUAAACAAGGAACCACUGAAAAACAGUAAAUUUAAAACCAUCAAAAAGCUUCAAGAUUCUUCUUGGAUGAGAUCCUUGUUAUCUUGGAUGUGUAAAUCCUACUGCAACUCAGUGACAGUCAAACUUACUUGUUCGCACCUUCUUUAAAGCUAUGGAAAACUUUGCUUGCUACAGAAAUUACGAAGUUAAAUAUACCUUCAGAUUUCUGUGGAUAUAAACCAUUUCUCCCUGAAUUUUGUUGGCCAGAUUGAAUUUCUCUUUUUUUUUAGGGAAAUAUGCAUCAUUUGGUAUUAACUUAUUAGGUGGUGGUACUUGGUAAGUAAAUGUAUUUUUAAAAUUUUACAGAAUAUUUCUUUCAAAAUAGCUGUAAGAUAUUGAAAUAACUAUUUUAUAACACCUCCUAUCAUGAUUGAAUGGAACAAAAUAAUGUCUGAUAUUGUCUAUCUGAGUAACUUCAUCCUUCUUCCAAAUUUGCUGAAUGAUCAUUUACUGUUUCCCAUUUCAGAUGAUCGAACAUUUCAUUGAUGAAGCUCAUAAAAAACUUAUUCAAAACCAUACUGAAAUUCAAUGACAUAUCUGAAAAUUAAAUGUUUUUUGUGCACGGACCAACCAUAGGUUAUAUCAGCAAGAUCCUUAUGUGAUCAAUUAGUGCUCCAAAGACAAACCUCUCUCCAGGAGUAAAAUAUGAGCCCCAGUCCUGGAGGGGAUUAACCCUCAGUUCGAGAAUAGUUAUUCAUUCCUGUAAUUGAAUACAAAAGACAUAGGGAUUGAUUUUCACCUAUACCCAAAUUCAUGGCUCCUGGGAGGGUAUGAGCUGCUGACAAAUAAUUUCAGCUUCAGCCAUUGAUUAUGCUUCUAUAGUGAACAUUACAUAUACAGUAAGGUUGAUGUAAUAUAUAUUGCUGGAGUAAUAUAAUAUAAGUACUCCCCAUUUCUUAACCUAUCUUUCACUACCCUUAAGCUGUGCCGUGCACAGGAGAUGUAGAAUUCGGCUUCCUAGGAAGGAAAUGGCCAUGAAGCAGAAAAAUGAAUUCACCCUCAUUGUAUUGUAGUGAUGUGGUGAAGAUAAUCACUGCAGCUUUAUUCCAUUUAUUUUGAAAGAGAAAGCCUUUGCCUUUUCAAACUGCCUUGACCAUAUCACCACUCAUCUAUUUGCAAUGAAAAUCUGACAUCAGAGUACAGAAUUAUAGCUGGAGAAAUUGUCUUCUCAUUUCAUAUUUACCUUGUUUCCUCUCCUGAGUCACUGGAAAUGCAGCGACCUAGGUCCGUGCUUUUACACUUUUUUUUACUAUAUAUACACACGUAGAUAAAAAAAUUAGUGUGUGUGUACUGCCAAACUCUUCAGCUCACUACUCAUCUUCCCAGGUGUCUUCACACACCGUAAUUUCUGGUGUUUAAAAUUGGUAGACUGCAAAAAGUAGCACUCCUGCGUUCCCUCUCAUUCAUAUUGUGAAUAUUCAGUUCUCCAAGAAUUUUGCUGCUGGUGUCUGACCAGCCAAGCCCAUAUCAGAAUCGGCCACAGUCUAAUCAUAGUUUUUACCAAUUAAAACUUGUGUGCUAUAAUUUGUUUUUGUUUGUUUGUUUGUUUGUUUUGAUAACCUAAAGCAUAUUCUACUGUUUGCUGUUAAAAUAAAAUCCUUUCUGUUUACCUCCUCAUGGCUCACUGAAAAAAAUAUAUGCUUACAAUUGCAGCUUUCAAAAUGUUUUUUAUUUCUUCAGAUUUCUACUACAAAGCUUCAAUGUAAUCAAUAAUUCUAACUAGCUAUCUGACAGAGUACUUAACUUUAUUUUUCCUAAUAAGAACAAAUAGUUGGAGAAGAAUGUGUCCAAAGCCAUUUUUUUCCAUUCCUUUCUCAUGGCUUGCCUCUUGUCUUCUGUAUAAGGAAUUUUAGCAUUUCAAAUUUUAAGCUGAAGAUAAAUCCUUCUUUUUGAAGAAGUGUUUCUCACCAAGAGAGCCUUUUUUUUUUUUAAAGUAAGGAUAGCAAAUCCAGCCUGAUAGAACAAACACCUGAAGACAUUUUCUGUACAAUAAUAUCUCUUUAACAGAAUUAAAAUUCUAGAGAUUUAAUUCUUUGCAGACUUAACUCAACUGAAGGAAUAAGAAAUGCUGUGAUAAAACAAUAUGAUUACUUCAGUCUCCAUGUAGUAUAAAGUACGAUUCUACAGGAUUUCUUCAGUAGCCCAUGUCCAUAGUGAUCUUAAUUUUUGCUUUGUCAGAAGAGCUCUAUGAUAGGUUAAUUCUUCAGAAAUACUUAUCGUCCAUUACAUCAGAUUUCAUUUAUUUCUCCACUAUGAAAUGCAAUUUUUGGAAUUAUUAUUCUUUUUAUUAUUGUUGCUAUUACAGAACUUCCAGUGUUGGACAAAUUUACUGCUGGUACCUUCCUGUUUUCAUCCCUUUUCUUCCAAAUCCAGUGCCUAACCAAUUGAUUGUUUACUUGGAUAAACAAUUUGUUUUCCCUAAUGAAAAAAGAUAAGACUUCAUUGCCUAUUUUGUGUGGAACUGGGGCUCCUCUAGCUUCUGCAUUUUUUCCUAUUACAUCAUAAGUCCUACUUCUAGACAGAAAUAAGAAUGAGAGAUUGCAGCCUGUAGAGCUGCUACUUAUAUAGCUGCUAGAGUUACUAUCUUAGCAUGCUCAAACAUAUUCCUUAUCUGCUUCUUUUUCACUGUUCUUUUCUGAUUAAUGGUGGAUUUCCUGAUAUGUUAGGAUAUUACUGUCCUAUCUGCAGAAAUAUUGUCUCUCAUUUGGAGGAUGGUGGGAUUUUUUUCAACUUAAAUUUUUACUUUGUGCAUUGUAAUACUAAUUUCAGUUCCUAAUUUUCCAGUAAGGCAAUUAGGACACUAAAAUUUCCCAAUCACGGAAAAAGUAAUUAGUUACUAGAAGAUAAGGAUGUGCAAAUUUGAACAAAUUUGUAUGUAUUUAUGGAUAUAAGAGUUGGCUUGCAUGUGUAACUUAGAAUUUUACAUAAAUGACAUAAACUCAUUUAAAUAUAUAAAAGUAAAAAUCCAGUACUUUUUCUAUUCAUCUUCUGUGGAAUUUAAUAGCUUUUUUUAAAAGGCAUGCAUUUUCAUGAAUUGAUGUUGGUAUAUAAGCAAGAUUAUGUAUUUUCUUCAUUAACUUUUACAAAGUAGAUAUGUAGGUGGAACUAAACAUUCAAAAGCUAAGCAAAGUUUGUGUUGUUUACAUAAAAGUAUUGGUAGAUUACAUCUACCCACAAAAAAAAAAAAAGUCAUGUAUUUUUGUUUUCAGAUAAAAAUGCACAUCUCAAAGACUUUCUUCUCUACAACUCAAACUUUCCAAAGGUUUUGAGUCAAAUUAUAUCUGAGUGUUCACUUAAAAAAAGGAAAAAACAAAACAAACAAACAAAUAAAAAAAAAUCAGAACACGGAGUUCUGUAGAAGUUAGGUAUGGUAGUUAAAAACCUUUCUGUGAAUGGCCAAAAAUACCCAAACGUUGGACUUGCUGGAACAGGAUAUGUGUUGUAAAGGAAAGCUGACAACAGAUGUUCAUAUUGUUGAAUGCUUUUGACUCAGAUCAUCAUUGGGUUUCAAGCUGUUAAUGGUGAAAGAGGUAAGAUCUCCAAGACAAGAUCUCAAAGAAAGAAGAAACUGAUCAGAGUACUUAGAUCUGAUUAUUUCAACUCACCUGACUAGCAGAGUCUUGGUAAGUAUUGGCUGUUUGGCUUGAUGAACGUUGAAAAAUCAGCUGGUUACAUUUUUUUGCUGUGGCUUGUUGUCUUUGCUCUUUGCAGCCAUUUCACAUGUCAUUCAUAGAGCCUGAAAGGGAGAAGAGUUAGGGUAAUAUACAUAAAUCAACACUGAGAUUAGAUGUCAAUAGAUCCACUUGACCGUUUCAGACAUUGGAAACUUACAUGGAAAACAUUGCUCAGCUGUAACACUAAGCAGCAGAGUUGAAGUAAAUAAAUGCAGGGUGGACAUCUAGUAGAUAGAUAACAGAUCUUCAGAAAAAAUAGCUAGUCAAGAUGAACAUUUUAUACCUUUUGCUAAAGCAAAUGAUAAGCCAAGUUAUGCUGUAAUAUGGCUUGUAAAAUAGAAAAUGGAUUACCCUAUAAUACUCAGAAGUUCUAACAUCCACUGAAGGGAAUUCCCUUCCAUUUUGGGCAUGUAUCUUCAAGAAAAAAUGUAGAUGAAUGAUGAAAGCCUGAAGAAAUAUGAAAAAAAAUCUGAGAAAUGCAGUCUAUAAGGAAGCUUGUGAAUUCACAUUUGUACUAUAGUUGAAAAUAGCAAAAAUAGCAAAGUCCAUGAAGGACUGUUGCAAAGAAGGCAGCAAAUGUUGUCAAAGUUGUCAUCAAAGUAUAGAAAAGACAAAAUGCAGAAAUUGAAGUUACACAGUAGAGGAAAGUUUCUAAUUGUAACGCUCAUGAGACAUCAGAUCUGGAUAAAGAGGCUGCAGAUUCCUCUCACUGAAAGACUUUAAAUACAUAUGGAAAAACACCUGCUAUAGCAGACACAGUACCAGUUGAUCCAGCCUUGGAAAAUAAGCCAGGUCUCCUGUUGAGAGCCAGCCACUUGUCUUUUUUUGCAAUAGUGUAGUUUAUUAAAUGUGAAGGAGUGAAAAUGACAGAAAACAGAACAGAAUGGUGUACUGUCAAAAUCCUGACAUAUCUCCAGAUAGGUGCAAACAAUGCAGUUUUAAUUAUACUUUUGUUGCUUUUUCUUCCCCAGCCAAAAGUAUUUCCUUUCUAAGUUUUGCUGGACGUCAUUUUACCUCUAAUUUGGUUUCAUUUUUAAGAAUCUCUGUUCAUUUAUUAUAUACUCAGGUUUGUCAAUUUAAUAUUUAUACCAAUUUAAUAUUUAAUAAAAUAUGUACAGCUUAAAGUUUCUACUGCAAUGAUCCUCUUGCUUUAAAUUAUUAACCGAAGUUGAAUGGGUAGCCACUUUCAAAUCUUCAGACAAAGAAACAAUUUUUAAUCUCAAAUUUUAGUUGUUGUGGUGCUAAUGUUUGAUAGAUACUUUUCAUUUUAGUACAGUAUAAUUCUAUUAAAAGGACAUUUGGUUCAACUGUUGAUCCGACAUUUAUACCAAAUAAAUAUGGUGCUAAGUUUACUUAUAAAUGAGUGUAGUAUAAAGCUAACUGUUGUUUCUUCAAGAAGAGUCCUCUGCAACAUAAAAUUUCCUCCAAGUCAAAGAAAGUUUAUUUCACUUCUAGUAAUUUUAUUGUGUGUGUACUAGGUGGAAAUACAGACCUGUGAAAAGGCUCAUUUUAGCAGGGAUAACAACUCACAGAAGUUAUUCUGAGGAAUGGGGUAGAAUGAAUCAUAUUCAUACGUGUAUGUGUUGGAUGGCAAAAAUCAAUGCUUUCUCUUAGCAAAGACACUCUCGGGGAUAGAGAAAUCAGAGCUGCGAAAAACCUAACAAAUUUUGCCUGACAGAUUUUCCAGGCAAACUACACCGCUGGUGCACUGGGAGUGUGCUGAGGAUGUCAGUCCCCAUGCCAGUCGGUGCAGCCUGCUCACGGCGGCUCAUUUUGGAGCUCUAGGGAGACCAAUAUCCCCCCACAUUUCCCCAACACACCCAAGUGCUUGCAAGCAGUCCUGGGGCUGCGAGGAGCCAAAGGCCUCCCCUGUGCAGCUUGGUGGAAGAUACAGUGCAUGUGGAGAGAUGAGCCUAAAAAUGCACAGAAAAAUAGGAAAAGGCAGAUGUGAAAGGGAAGGAGAAAGCAACAUAGCAUUUCAGUGUGAAGAAAAAAAAAUGCUUAAGUCUCCAUCCUAUUAGCAUCAGUAGCACAACCUCUUCUAGCCUCAGCAAGUGACAGAUGUCAUCUCUGCUGCCUGGUUUGGUCUUGUUCCCUGUGAUGCCAGUGCUGUUGGAGGUGUGUGCUGGGCCUCACCACUCUGAGGUGGCUAACAGUGGUCAGGUUCCGGGUUCCCAAUUACUGCCAGUGUUUAAUGGUUCCCUCUUAUAGCAUCCCAAGCUCCCUGAAUCUUUAAUAAAACUCUGAUAAGCAAUAAUCAUGUUGGGAAUGGUGUAUUCCUGCUGGUCUAUGCCACAAAAGAUAGCCAUUGUAUCUGCCUUAAAUAGUCCCUGGGGUACAAGUGGAAAUUUGUUCUUCUAAGCAGAAAAUGGCCACUUCUGAGAGAGUAGAAAGCAUCCUUUUCUUGCCCACCAUCACCAGCAAUUAUACCUCCGCAUCUUUAUUUGUCAGAGCUAAUAACAGUGUUGUUGUGACUCAGAAAAGAGAGGAUAAGACGAUGAAAGAUGCACCACCAGCAUGGUGCAGAUGGCAACUGAACUGCCUCUGUUCCUUGUUAGUGAAAAUUAUUUGAUGUGAAUGUUGUUGCCUAAUAGGGCCCCAUCCGACUGCAAGUGAUCGUAACACAGGCAGCAGAAUAAUGGAAAAUUGUUGCAGCAAGAUGGUUGCUAGGGUAAUGCUAGCAGUAAGAAAGGAAGUAAGUGAAAUUGAAAAUUACAUAUUUAACAACCAGAUAAAUGGCAAUAAUUAUUUGGGGCCAGAAUUAUCUUACUUUGCUUCUUCACAUUGUGAGUCAUUAAUUACAGGAGUAAAUCUGCUGAUCUGAGUGGGAUAAUCAUCUUGACAUUGGCAUUGCCUUGCCAGUGGAAGCAAAGGGUUUUCAAACCAUGGAUGAGACAAUAGAAUUCCUCUCAUCAGUAGCAUGUUGAGGUGCCAUGAUAAGACAUUGACACAGAUGGUACACAGCAAAGCAAGGUGGAAGACUUCAGGGAACCAUCCAAGUCUUAUCCAGUGAUCCUCUUAUCUUUUCAAUACUAUGGACCAAGAAGCAAUGAUGCUUUAUGUUAAAAAAAAUAAUAAUAAAACAAAAAAGAGCAAUCUCAGGACAAGAAGUUACUACAGACAUAUAACCCUCAUUUCUAAAGGCAAAUCUGCCUUGCUUUCAUUUUUCAAAAGAAAAGGGCAAGUCUGUUUACUUCAUUCUCAUCAGAAGUGCUGACCCUUGUUCUGCUAAUCAGGAUAGAGCCUGCAUUGAUUCCACCUGGAAAAUAACAUAGCUGAAAAUCAGAUGGUUUACACUCACACCAAAAUAUAUAGCAAUAAUGAAGUUGGAAGAGCAAGGCUCAGCCUCAAGCUUGAUCUGACUCAUACCAUGAAAUCAUCAGGUUUUUUAAGCUCAGGAGGGUUACAGUUCUUCAUUAUCUGAAUGGAAGACUUCACAAAAAGCCUCAGGAGCUGAAGGAGCAAUGGAGAUACUUCAGCUUGAAAUCAAUACACUGGUGUGCUGCUCAGUUCCUUGGAUCACUUUGUCACUUGGAGGUGAGUACCAGCAGGGUUUGAAUGCUUACUGCCAUUACAAAACCUGCAGCAAGAGCAUCCCUGCAUCCUGUCGGUGCUCAGCUGACCUAUUAGAGAAGAUUACUGGAACUAAAUACCUUACUGAAGAAAGUGACAAAGCUAUUGAACCUAUGUCUGCCCACCCUUGGUCACAUCAAGCUCUGCUUGCCACAGUACAAGGGGACCCCUCUGCUAGCUCAGCUGCUGGAAAGAGUGGGGUCAUGAAGGCUGCCAUGUGAUGCUUUCCUAGUAUUGUUCCAGCCUGUGAGUUGGAGGUGGACAUCCUAAGCUUAAGGCGGACUUGGAGUUGCAUGUUUUUUUUCUGUUCGCUUGCUUGUUUUUGUUCAUUUUUCAAUAAAUAUGCAUUCUCUCCUUUCUUUAGUUUUUC